ACGGCGAAACCGCGAAUGGCUCAUUAAAUCAGUUAUUGUUUAUUUGAUGGUAACCUGCUACAUGGAUAACCGUGGCAAUUCUAGGGCUAAUACAUGCUAAAAGGGCGUUGCUCUGCUUCGCUCGCUUUUAUUAGACCGAACCAAUGUGCUUCGGCACUUUUUUUGGUGACUCUGGAUAAUUCCGCUGAUCGCAUGGUCUCGCACCGGCGAUGCAUCAUUCAAAUUUCUGCCUUAUCAACUGUCGAUGGUAAGAUAUGGGCUUACCAUGGUUGUAACGGGUAACGGGGAAUUAGGGUUCGAUUCCGGAGAGGGAGCCUGAGAAACGGCUACCACAUCCAAGGAAGGCAGCAGGCGCGCAAAUUACCCACUCCCGGCACGGGGAGGUAGUGACGAAAAAUAACAAUACGGGACUCUAUUGAGGCUCCGUAAUUGGAAUGAGUACACUUUAAAUCCUUUAGCGAGUAUCUAUUGGAGGGCAAGUCUGGUGCCAGCAGCCGCGGUAAUUCCAGCUCCAAUAGCGUAUAUUAAAGUUGUUGC
rnacentral:rRNA from 2 species